ACGCUCGACACCUACGGGGCAGCAGUGGGGAAUAUUGCACAAUGGGGGAAACCCUGAUGCAGCGACGCCGCGUGGAGGAAGAAGGUCUUCGGAUUGUAAACUCCUGUUGUUGGGGAAAAAGAGGAUGGUACCCAACAAGGAAGUGACGGCUAACUACGCGCCAGCAGCCGCGGUAAUCUGAGCGGGCUGGCAAGGC
rnacentral:rRNA from 1 species